UACGUAGGGGGCGAGCGUUGUCCGGAAUUACUGGGCGUAAAGGGCGCGUAGGCGGCCUGCUAAGUCGAACGUGAAAUCCCUGGGCUCAACCCAGGAACUGCGUCCGAUACUGGUUGGCUUGAAUCCGGGAGAGGGAUGUGGAAUUCCAGGUGUAGCGGUGAAAUGCGUAGAGAUCCGGAGGAACACCAGAGGCGAAGGCGGCACCCUGGCCUAAUACUGACACUGAGACGCGAAAGCAUGGGGAGCGAACGGG
rnacentral:rRNA from 1 species